rnacentral:rRNA from 1 species
GGGGCAGCAUGUCUUAGCUUGCUAAGGCGAUGGCGACCGGCGCGCGGGUGAGUAACACGUAUCCACCUGGCGUCUACUCUUGGACAGCCUUCUGAAAGGAAGAUUAAUACAAGAUGGCUCCGCAUGUUUAAAGGAUUCCGGUAGACGAUGGGGAUGCGUUCCAUUAGAUAGUAGGCGGGGUAACGGCCCACCUAGUCUUCGAUGGAUAGGGGUUCUGAGAGGAAGGUCCCCCACAUUGGAACUGAGACACGGUCCAAACUCUACGGGAGGCAGCAGUGAGGAAUAUUGGUCAAUGGGCGAGAGCCUGAACCAGCCAAGUAGCGUGAAGGAUGACUGCCUAUGGGUUGUAAACUUCUUUUAUAAAGGAAUAAGUCGGGUAUGCAUACCCGUUUGCAUGUACUUUAUGAAUAAGGAUCGGCUAACUCCGUGCCAGCAGCCGCGGUAAUACGGAGGAUCCGAGCGUUAUCCGGAUUUAUUGGGUUUAAAGGGAGCGUAGAUGGAUGUUUAAG